CGAAGGGGGCUAGCGUUGUUCGGAAUUACUGGGCGUAAAGCGCACGUAGGCGGAUAUUUAAGUCAGGGGUGAAAUCCCGCAGCUCAACUGCGGAACUGCCUUUGAUACUGGGUAUCUUGAGUAUGGAAGAGGUUAGUGGAAUUGCGAGUGUAGAGGUGAAAUUCGUAGAUAUUCGCAGGAACACCAGUGGCGAAGGCGGCUAACUGGUCCAUAACUGACGCUGAGGUGCGAAAGCGUGGGGAGCAAACAGG
rnacentral:rRNA from 1 species